rnacentral:rRNA from 1 species
CGACCGCUGGCGGCGUGCUUCACACAUGCACGUUGACCGGAAAGGCCCUGCUUGCAGGGUACUCGAGUGGCGAACGGGUGAGUAACACGUGGGUGAUCUGCCCUGCACUUCGGGAUAAGCCUGGGAAACUGGGUCUAAUACCGGAUAGGAGCCAUUUUUAGUGUGAUGGUUGGAAAGUUUUUUCGGUGUAGGAUGAGCUCGCGGCCUAUCAGCUUGUUGGUGGGGUAAUGGCCUACCAAGGCGGCGACGGGUAGCCGGCCUGAGAGGGUGGACGGCCACAUUGGGACUGAGAUACGGCCCAGACUCCUACGGGAGGCAGCAGUGGGGAAUAUUGCACAAUGGGCGCAAGCCUGAUGCAGCGACGCCGCGUGGGGGAUGACGGCCUUCGGGUUGUAAACUCCUUUCGCUAGGGACGAAGCUUUUUGUGACGGUACCUAGAGAAGAAGCACCGGCUAACUACGUG